rnacentral:rRNA from 1 species
GACAGAGGGGGCAAGCGUUGCUCGGAAUUACUGGGCGUAAAGCGCACGUAGGCGGAUUGUUAAGUCAGGGGUGAAAUCCUGGAGCUCAACUCCAGAACUGCCUUUGAUACUGAAGAUCUUGAGUUCGGGAGAGGUGAGUGGAACUGCGAGUGUAGAGGUGAAAUUCGUAGAUAUUCGCAAGAACACCAGUGGCGAAGGCGGCUCACUGGCCCGAUACUGACGCUGAGGCACGAAAGCGUGGGGAGCAAACAGG